AUACUUACCUGGACGGGGUCAAUGGGCGAUCAAUAAGACCCAUGGCCUAGGUUGGUGACCUCCAUUGCACUUUGGAGGGAUACUUGCCUAAGGUCGACCCAAGUGGUCGAGCCUACGUCAUAAUUUGUGCUAGCAGGGGCCUGCGUUCGCGCGGCCCCUAC
rfam:Nicotiana attenuata strain TT chromosome 3, whole genome shotgun sequence.